rnacentral:rRNA from 1 species
CCCUUAGAUGUUCUGGGCUGCACGCGCGCUACACUGAUGCGUUCAACAAGUUGGACCUCGUCCGAUAGGAAAUCGGGGGAAUCUUUUGAAAACGUAUCGUGAUGGGGAUAGAUUAUUGUAAUUAUUAAUCUUCAACGAGGAAUUCCUAGUAAGCAUGAAUCAUCAGCUCGUGCUGAUUACGUCCCUGCCCUUUGUACACACCGCCCGUCGCUCCUACCGAUUGAGUGGUCCGGUGAGGCUUUGGGAUCUGAGCGGAAAGAGCGUUUCGCUGUUUCUGCUCGGAAAACUCAGUCGAACCUUAUCAUUUAGAGGAAGGAGAAGUCGUAACA